AUUUCAAUCAGGUUGCUGCAUGCAAUAGACUUUUUCAAUAUCACGUCUAUUCGAUUCUGCCCAUGUUUGCACAGCACACUACAGACGUAGGUUUGACUCACACCAAACUGGACAGAUACAGGGAAAAGCUGGUCAGAGGAACCAGAGGGUUCCUGCACAAACAGGCAUCCAGAUAAUAUGAUAAAGACAAAACCUUAAUAAUCACAAAUCCCCCCCCAAAAAAAAUGUAGGAUUACCAUUAAAACAAAAAAACUGUCUGAUAGGUGAAGUACUUUUUUCCCUUUUUUGCAGUGAUUGUUGAUAGAAUUGUGCAAUUUUUUAUACAGUACGUAGUUAGGUCUGAGUAUGCCUAGAACUGUGAUUCGCUUUAACUGUCGUCAGUGUCCGACAUAGAAGUCCUGUGAAAUGUCAUAACUAGUGUAUGCACACGUAUAUAUGUUCUCUUGUACACACACCUACUUGCACACACGUACACACACACACACUCUUGCACCAGUACACACAGAAGUCUCUCACAUGUGUACUCGGACGGCUGUCGAUCUUUUUUUUUUUUUUAAAUGCACAUUAACUGGGUCCGAGGAGACGCAACCAAUGUGAGCUUAGACUGAGAACUGAGUUGAAAUUAUCCUUUUAUUUUUCCACCAUUGAGAAAAAGCGCACGUUUACGUCCCAGAGUGCAACCAAAGAGCUCACGUGUUCGACUUUGUUUAACAGAGACCACCUGACACACGGGAUGAGGAAACUGGACGGUACGUGGGCGCAGCAGAUCGGAUGAGGAAAAAAAAAAAAGAGAGAGAGGCGUUUAGGGGCGAGGAGUCAAACUUAACACUGAAGCUACUGGACACUUGAUAAACUGAGCCCUGCACAUGCUCUCGCUAAAUGGGAAGGGGUAGGGAUGGGUGGGAAGGAGGAGCGUUGCCGGAACAUGCAGAUGUGCAAACUGGGAUUACCACAUUUAUCCAGAUUUUUAUUUUCCUGCAAAGCUUGAAGUAAUGGACCUGCUUAAAAAAAGAAAAAAAAGGUGGACAUAUAGAUAUAUAUUUUUGUUUUUAUCAAAAGGUUAUGGUGCAGUUUAAACAGGAAUGGGCGGGUAGGUGGAUGCAAUGCAUAGAAACUUUAAGUAUUGACUGCUGAAGACGGGGAGGGUAUGCUUUUUUUUUUUUUUUUUGGGAGGCUGGGCCACAUUACACUGGUUUUAGCAGUUUUGUGGACAAUCUGAAUGGGAUCCUGCAUCAUUGCGAGUUAUCGCGUGUUACCCCUUCCCCUUUUCCUUAAUUCCGUGAGUUGUGAUUGGCGCCCCUGCAGUCCCUCUCCUCUCUUUCCAUUUUACUCAGUUAAACUGUGUGUUUGUUUGUUUUUUCACCAAGAAAUCGAAACUAAGCAACAAUACGUUUUUUCUUCUUAACUGAGGCUAACCAUGAGUAAUAAUAAGCAUCCCUAUGAAAGUGAAUUCUGGGUAUUUUUUGUGACAUUUCUUUCCCCACCCAGAAAAAAAAAGGUUUUCUAUGUUUGUUCCUUCUCUAUAAUAGCUAUUUGUUAUGCACUACUCUUUGUAUCUGACCAGUUUUCAACAGUCAGCUGUUCUUUUUGUUAAAAGACAAAAAAAAAGAGAGAUAAAGUGUGCUUUCUGACUGACAAGAUCUUUUGCAAUACCUCAAUUUUGAAAUAUAUUAGGAGAGAAAAAGAUAUUUUCUAAGUAAGUUUAUUCAGAUGAGAAAUAUAUAUUAAUUUAAUUCUUCAAGAGAAAUGAUUUAACAGAUGGUUGAUUUUUCUUUUUUAAAUCUUAUCAUGCUUUUUUUAAAGUUUGCUUUUAUUUUAAGAAUUAAUUAUUUUAUUUUUUUGGAAAAAGACAACAACUGAAGGAGCUAGAGCUUUAUACUAAUAAUAUGUAGUUAGUGAGAGUCUACUUUAUUACAGUGGCAGCGAGGGUGAGCGCCCCACUGGUCGAAACAUCGGAGGGAGGAGAGCUCUUUAAGGAAAUCGAAUAUAAGAAAAAAAGAGGGAAAAAAGAGCAACCCCGAUUCGUUAGCCCGACGAGAAAGACUUGUGAGAGUCACGGCUGGAGGUAGAGUGAAAAGAAUGUUAUUUUUACCACAAAACAGACACAAGUGUUUUCACCUGUAACUUGAUCUGAAGCCCCCAAGGUGCAUCAAUAGACUGGUGGCCUUCUAUUCUAGCAAGACUUGAAUUAGUCCCUUUUUUUUAAAGGCUAACAACCUUGAUUCUUUGUCGUAAUGUGCAAUACUGUUUGUACUGUUUGUAGAAAAGAAGAAAACAAGAAAAAAGAGGCAUAAAUCUUUACUGCAGAAUUAUUUUCAUUGCAAGCAUUGUGAUUCACUAAAAAUCAUUUUCUACUGUGUAUUUACCUACUCUACCUGCUAGUACCUUCCAGUAGUAAUGUAGCCUUUGUACUGAGAAAUUUUCAUUAUUUUUAGAAAGUUUUGCUAAAAAACAAAAGAAGAAUUUAAACAUAUUUGCAUAUUUUCAUUUUUAUUUCAUGUUUUUUCUUUACAGACUUAUUUCUCAACCAUUAAUAGUUAUUUCUGGGGGAGACUUUCAUAUCUGGUCAAUGUCAUUAAUAUUAUUUUGUAUUUUUACUUGGAAUAAAUUAAUUUUUAUUAUGCUAAUUCUUUAAAAGUUUAUUUUUUUUCCCAUUUGUUCACUUUUUCAUUUUUUUGGAAGCUAUGAAAAAACCCCUUUGUAAUAUUGUUACUAAAGUGUCUCGUUUCUUGAAAUGCUAAGCUUUAUGUGUUAUAACUUGCUGAUGUUGCUUACAUUAGUGUGAAAAUGAUCUAAAGAUGAAAAAAAAAAAAAACCUACUCACAAAGAAACAGAUUGGUGGUUGGUGAUGUUUAAGUGAUUCGCAAUGUAAACAGAUGAAUGGGCAAUAAAAUAAAAAUGGCAGAAUGGAGCAUACAUGUAGUAUGUUGUGAUGUAAUUGUGGAAGAUGGGUGACACCACUGACCGUUUACUGCUGUUGCUACUCAGUGCUAUGUUCCAGUAAUUGCUACUCAUUAGCUCACAUACUUUAUUCUACUCAGCAGAUCCUUCUAAAAACACCAGUGACACAUGCUGUACGUGGUUCAGUCCCCACAGAGCACACCGGUGUGACUGUAUUUAAGUAUGAAUGUAAACGUAGCUGCACUGUAUGAUACAUAUAGAAAUUGGAAGGAGCAUGUGUGACCUGUACAAUAUUAAUCAUUUAUAGCAGGCAUGGGCCUAAUGUGGCUGCUCUAUAUAUAUCUGUACUUUCACCCUUUUUCCUGCCUUCAAGGAAAGAACGGUUUGACGUUUGAAUAUUUUAUUUGAGAAAAACUGACUCCUGUCUCUCC
ensembl:lncRNA